UUCCUGCUCUAGUACCACGUCUGCCUGCAGGCCGCCUUGCUUCCCGCCAUGACGAUAAUGGACUGAACCCAGUCUGAACUGUGUGUUAGCCCAGUUAAACAUUUUUAUAAGAGUUGCCGCGUCAUGGUGUCGCUUCACGGCAACAGGAACGCUAAGACACCAGGGAAGGAGCUAGAUGUGAGGGUGAGAGCUACUGUGCUGCAGCCAGCCAACCUUGGGCCCAGAUAGAAGAGAUUCUUCUCUUUCUGUGAUUGGACUUCAGGUCACCAUGAGCAACAGAACCCGUGUCUAACAAGAUCAAACCUGUCAAUAAUUCCAGUGCGGAUUGGGCAGAAAGUCAUGAGGCUCUGGCCCCAGCUGAGGAGCUGCUGGAGCUGAUGGCUGCCGGGAAGGAGAAGUUUGCCCUUCCCCGGCCUCUGAAGGAAGCGAGGAGGAUAACUCAGACACUAAUGCCACAGCGAGAGAAACCACAAGCAACAAGAACGCAUUCUUAACUGAGGCUGCAGUGAAAUACACGAGGAAACAUGGGCCAAGCCUACUUUUAAAAGCAACAUCAUGGGAUAAUAUGCCAGCUUGGAGUCAAGAGAUCUGAAUUCAAAUCCUCAUCACCAGGCAGCCACACAAGUUUUAACAAAUGAAUGUUUGGGGGAUGCUUCUUGUUCAAACCUUAACAAUUAAGUCCAGUAUCCAAUACAGAAGAGGCCAGUAUGGACAAGG